rnacentral:tRNA from 1 species
GGAGGGAUGCCAGAGAGGCUGAAUGGGGCGGUCUCGAAAACCGUUGUGCAUGCAAAUGCACCGUGGGUUCGAAUCCCACUUCCUCCGCCA